UCCGGUUUGACACCGGCAGUCUCCCGCGAGUCCCCAACACUACUUGCUGGCAACACGGGAUAAGGGUUGCGCUCGUUGCGGGACUUAACCCAACAUUUCACAACACGAGCUGACGACAGCCAUGCAGCACCUGUAUACCGACCACAAGGGGGGCCGUAUCUCUACGGCUUUCCGGUAUAUGUCAAACCCAGGUAAGGUUCUUCGCGUUGCAUCGAAUUAAUCCGCAUGCUCCGCCGCUUGUGCGGGCCCCCGUCAAUUCCUUUGAGUUUUAGCCUUGCGGCCGUACUCCCCAGGCGGGGCGCUUAAUGCGUUAGCUACGGCACAGAAUGAACAAAUGCCACCCCACACCUAGCGCCCACCGUUUACAGCAUGGACUAC
rnacentral:misc_RNA from 1 species